GGCGGCAGCGGCGGCGGCGCGCGCUAAGCCGCGGGCGCCCGGCGGGUACCGGGAGCGCCUCCCCGGGCGGGCGGCGACCCCUGGCCAGCGACACCCGGUCAUCAUCCGCCUGCCGCCCCUCGCCCACCACCGACCGACCACCGACCCCCAGCGCCGUGCAGGAGCCACGUGGGACAGGCAGUGUUUCCCUCUGGUCCCGGUUGCUGCUGUGCCAGCCUCAUGUGAGUAAAUGCUGGGGUGGAUUUGGUGAAGGUGUGUGUGUUUGCAGCUCCUGUCCUGGGGCAGAGCCCCCAGCCUGCAGAGCAGGAGGAGUGGUCCCUUGGGAAUAAAACAGGGUUUUUUGGGAAUAACAACAUUCAGGCUUCUUGGAGAUGCAGAGGGAAAUGUUUCUGUGAGAGCCCCUGUCAGCAGCUGCCUGUUUUAUCCAAGCCAGGAACGUUUACAGACCACGGCAGCACUAAUGGGGACAGUUGGUCGCUAAUCUUUGCAAAGACACAGAACUGAUUACACAGAAGGGUUCCCUGAGGCAGCCUGGAAGGUGCAGCACGAGGGUGACCCAGAGGCUGCUCUCUGGGU
rnacentral:lncRNA from 1 species